UUUAAUUAUCUAUAUCUAACCAUAUAAUAAAUUAUUAAUAUAAUAUAGAAAAGAAAUUAAUAGUGGAUAAUUUUAUUCAUCGUUUUUUAUACAAUCCCUAGAACUACUCAUAAUUCCUCCCCAACCCUUAAUAUAGGAGAUCAUUAAUGCCCUUCAACAUGCUCGAACCCAUGGUCUCCUGCAUGUGCAACAAGGUCGAUGCCAAUCGAGCUAAG
rnacentral:lncRNA from 1 species